rnacentral:rRNA from 1 species
UAUCUCUGUAGAGUCUGCAUAUCAAUAAGCGGAGGAAAAGAAACUAACAAGGAUUCCCUUAGUAACGGCGAGUGAAGCGGGAAGAGCUCAAAUUUGAAAUCUUCAAGGUUUUACCUUGACGAAUUGUAGUUUAAAGAAGUGUUUUCUGUUGAAGUUUUGGUAAAAGUUCUUUGGAAUAGGACAUCAUAGAGGGUGAGAAUCCCGUAUUUGACCAUUAUUUUCAGCUGUGUGAUACACUUUCAAAGAGUCGGAUUGUUUGGGAAUGCAGUCCAAAAUGGGUGGUAAAUUUCAUCUAAAGCUAAAUAUUGGCGAGAGACCGAUAGCGAACAAGUACCGUGAGGGAAAGAUGAAAAGAACUUUGAAAAGAAAGUUAAACAGUACGUGAAAUUGUCAAAAGGGAAGCGUUUGACACCAGUGUUGUUUUCUCGAAAAUCAAUUAAAAAAGGCCGGAUUUUGUGUUGUAUUGACCUUAAAAGCUUUCUUCACUCUUUUCUUGUCUUUUUUAAUGCACUUUUCGUUUAACAAGUCAACAUCAGUUUCUUUUGUUGUAAAAGGGUCAUUGGAAGGUGGCUUUCUUUUCGGAGAAAGUGUUUAUAGCCUUUGAUCUCUGCAACCGGAGAGACUGAGGUCUGCAGCGUAGACUCUUCGGGGUUAGAUACAUUUGUGCUAAGCUAUAGCUUUUUAUAGACAACUUGUUGACUAUAUUUAGUCUUGUGGCUUACUCGCUUAUGCUAUUUUACCUACGCUUAGGAUGUUGAUGUGAUACUGCGAGCA